GCGGUGGAGCAUGUGGUUUAAUUCGAAGCAACGCGAAGAACCUUACCAGGCCUUGACAUGCUAGGAACCGGGUGAAGCCUGGGGUCGCCCCGCGAGGGAGCCCUAGCACAGGUGCUGCAUGGCCGUCGUCAGCUCGUGCCGUGAGGUGUUGGGUUAAGUCCCGCAACGAGCGCAACCCCCGCCGUUAGUUGCCAUCAUUUAGUUGGGCACUCUAGAGAGACUGCCGAGGAUAACUCGGAGGAAGGUGGGGAUGACGUCAAAUCAUCAUGCCCCUUAUGUUCUGGGCUACACACGUGCUACAAUGGCUGGUACAAAGAGACGCAAAGCGGUGACGUGGAGCAAAUCUCAAAAACCAGUCCCAGUUCGGAUUGUAGGCUGCAACUCGCCUACAUGAAGUUGGAGUUGCUAGUAAUCGCAGAUCAGAAUGCUGCGGUGAAUGCGUUCCCGGGUCUU
rnacentral:rRNA from 2 species